UAGACCUUGAAUAUAUGCAAGUACUUCCCUC
rnacentral:piRNA from 1 species